UACGGAGGGUGCGAGCGUUGUCCGGAAUCACUGGGCGUAAAGGGCGCGUAGGCGGCCUGAUAAGUAGGGGGUGAAAUCCUGCGGCUUAACCGCAGGGCUGCCUUCUAAACUGUCAGGCUAGAGCACAGUAGAGGCAGGUGGAAUUCCCGGUGUAGCGGUGGAAUGCGUAGAGAUCGGGAAGAACACCGGUGGCGAAGGCGGAUCUCUGGGCCUGUCCUGACGCUGAGGCGCGAAAGCUAGGGGAGCGAACAGG
rnacentral:rRNA from 1 species